AACGAACGCUGGCGGCAGGCUUAACACAUGCAAGUCGAACGGUCUCUUCGGAGGCAGUGGCAGACGGGUGAGUAAUGCAUGGGAAUCUACCGUUCUCUACGGAAUAACUCAGGGAAACUUGUGCUAAUACCGUAUACGCCCUUUUGGGGAAAGAUUUAUCGGAGAAUGAUGAGCCCAUGUUGGAUUAGCUAGUUGGUAGGGUAAAGGCCUACCAAGGCGACGAUCCAUAGCUGGUCUGAGAGGAUGAUCAGCCACACUGGGACUGAGACACGGCCCAGACUCCUACGGGAGGCAGCAGUGGGGAAUAUUGGACAAUGGGCGCAAGCCUGAUCCAGCCAUGCCGCGUGAGUGAUGAAGGCCCUAGGGUUGUAAAGCUCUUUCACCGGUGAAGAUAAUGACGGUAACCGGAGAAGAAGCCCCGGCUAACUUCGUGCCAGCAGCCGCGGUAAUACGAAGGGGGCUAGCGUUGUUCGGAUUUACUGGGCGUAAAGCGCACGUAGGCGGACUUUUAAGUCAGGGGUGAAAUCCCGGGGCUCAACCCCGGAACUGCCUUUGAUACUGGAAGUCUUGAGUAUGGAAGAGGUAAGUGGAAUUGCGAGUGUAGAGGUGAAAUUCGUAGAUAUUCGCAGGAACACCAG
rnacentral:rRNA from 1 species